rnacentral:rRNA from 1 species
GGACGCACCGGCUAACUAUGUGCCACCAGCCGCGGUAAUACAUAGGGUGCAAGCGUUGUCCGGAAUUAUUGGGCGUAAAGAGCUCGUAGGUCGUUUGUUACGUCGGAUGUGAAAACCUGAGGCUCAACCUCAGGCCUGCAUUCGAUACGGGCAAACUAGAGUUUGGUAGGGGAGACUGGAAUUCCUGGUGUAGCGGUGGAAUGCGCAGAUAUCAGGAGGAACACCAAUGGCGAAGGCAGGUCUCUGGGCCAAUACUGACACUGAGGAGCGAAAGUCUGGGGAGCGAACAGGAUUAGAUACCCUGGUAGUCCAGACCGUAAACGGUGGGCACUAGUUGUGGGAACCUUCCACGGUUUCUGCGACGCAGCUAACGCAUUAAGUGCCCCGCCUGGGGAGUACGAUCGCAAGAUUAAAACUC